AGAGGGAAGGCAACGUAAAGACCCAAAGAGAGACCACCAUCUACAAGUCACAUCUACAAGUCAAGGAGAGAGGCCCAGGACAGAUUCUUUCCUCACAGCCCUCGGGAGGAAGCAACCCUGCCAACCCCCUGACUUCUAGCCUUCUUCAGAUUCUCAGCUUCUAGAACUGUGAGACGAUGCAUUUCUGCCAUUUAAGCCACCCGUUUGUGGUUGGCAUUGUUAUGGUGGCCCUAGCAAACUAAGACAACUCUAAAUUCUGCAAACAGUUCUCUAAACAAGGCUGAUAUAAUUAAAUUGCUACUUCUUAAGAUUUUCCUCUCUCCUUUAAAAAUGAAAGACCUGUAAAUAUAGACUGCCUAAAUGCUUCAUCAGUAAGAACUGGAGUCAUCUUACACAACUUCUUCAAGUAACAAUUAUGUGGAAAAAGUGUGCUAAUUUCAGUAAAAAGACAUCCUGCUGUUGUAAACUAGAAGGAAAGACGUUCCAGUGUUAAUCUCCAAGUGUAGCACCGUUAAGCGGCAGAAAAAAAAAGACUAAACGCUACCUACGCUCAAUGUUCCACACCUCUUAAGCCAGUAAUCCUGUAUCUGGUGUCGGGCAGCAAAGAAAAUAAAAUAUACCUCGUCUGUGCUCCAUUUGGAAACUUUACUGGCAGGGAUUCCUGCGACAGUUGGAAGAAGUUUGCUUUGCUGCUCCCAGCGCAAGGGCAGACAUGGAAUUGGGGA
rnacentral:lncRNA from 10 species